GAUGGGGCUGGAGUCAGAGGAGAGAGGAGAAAAGUGAGCAGUCUCUGUCCUUCCUACCCACUGUCUUCAAAAACAGAGCUAACCUCAGGUGUGCGAGACAGUCCCAGGCAGGGUGAUGGAGGAGGCAGCCAAGAUCUGCUCUAGAAAAAAAUGUCUGCUGCCGGAACAGAGAGGUCAACUCAGAGGCUUGAAUGAAUUAACAGAAGGCUUUACAGAACAGAGAUAGAAAACAUGAGACCUUUAUUUUCUCUUUCCCAACUGUAAAAC